GCGGCCGUAGCGUAAUCUGGUUAUCGCGCGUCCCUGUCACGGACGAGACUGCCGGUUCAAAUCCGGUCGGCCNNN
rfam:Candidatus Zambryskibacteria bacterium RIFOXYD2_FTLL_43_10 rifoxyd2_full_scaffold_2280, whole genome shotgun sequence.